UACGGAGGGUGCAAGCGUUAAUCGGAAUUACUGGGCGUAAAGCGCACGCAGGCGGUCUGUUAAGUCAGAUGUGAAAUCCCCGGGCUUAACCUGGGAACUGCAUUUGAAACUGGCAGGCUUGAGUCUUGUAGAGGGGGGUAGAAUUCCAGGUGUAGCGGUGAAAUGCGUAGAGAUCUGGAGGAAUACCGGUGGCGAAGGCGGCCCCCUGGACAAAGACUGACGCUCAGGUGCGAAAGCGUGGGGAGCAAACAGGAUUAGAAACCCCCGUAGUCC
rnacentral:rRNA from 1 species